AAAAGAUUGGGCAUUGAGAUGAGGUAGGAGGAAUAGGAAAGCACUCUAGGUCGAAAAUUUUACAAAAAUUUUUAAUUUUUAUAGAUUGAUCUCUUUCAAUCUACAGCAAAAACCCUGACUGAUAGGAUAAUAAAUAUUAAGAGCUAAAAACCAAGAAUUUAGCAUGAGCAAGGCACUAUUGUAAACAUAACUGUUAACAUUGAAUCCUCACAGUCCUGAAAUAGGUACUGCUGUAUUUCUUUGAAUCUAAAAUGCAUUAAUGGUAAGAUGUACAUUUUAUGUAACUUGAAGAAAGGAAAAAAAAAUGCUGCCAAUUAAAUUAAUGACCUAAUGCUUUCUAAAGAACUCAAUUUAGAAUGUUUAUACUUACAUAAAGAGCUCUUUUAGGCAUUUGAUUUCAACAAAUCUAAGACUCCAUCAAUUUGUAAGACACACUAUUUUGUAUACCACCAAGAACGAAAAACACAGCUUAAUUAAUUGUGUGACACAUCCUGACUUGAGAUGGUGAAAUAUGAAACGAUAGUGUAGAAUUGAUGUAAUGUGGUAUUGAGAUAAAUUUUUAUAUCAUUCUAUGCUCCUAUAAAAAGAUAAACAUAAUUGAAAUUAACUGGGUAAGGCAUCCUAAAGCUUCACGACAGUCAGGACAAUGAUUUAUGAACCAAAAUAUUGAAAGGCUGCAGUUGUCCAUUUGUGCCACCAGAAACAGCCACCAAGUCCACAUUUGCACAGGCAGUGACAACUGCAUCGUGACUGUGGCCUGGCCAAAAGCUAUUUUAAGACUAAAGAGUUCAGAGAUGUUAAAGUGUGGGCUCUAGAGUCAAUUAGGUGCGUUACCAUCAUCCCCCUUUCGUAUGAUACGAGCAAGAAACAGAUCCAAACACAUUAGUCACAUGAAGAGGAAAUAGGUAAACAAGGAUUCAUACUAGGGCCAGGUGGGCUUCAGAGGUCACAUUCUUAACUUUUAGGCCACAUAGCCUCCAUGGGCUCCGUCUGGGUGAUCAGACUACUUUUAACAUUUUUUGGAAAAGACAGUUUCUUUACAAUUUGUGAAACUGCUUUUCUUGGAGGUUUUUCUCCUCAAUGAUGGACAGCAGGCUAAGUUUCUCCCCGUGUGUUUAAUUCCUCUUGGGUAUUUCAUCCAUGUUACUCACAUAUUUUGCUGGUUUGGGCAUAAAAACUUCAAUCGUUUCAGUUUGUUUGAAAUCAGCUGUUCAUGCUAAUGCUGGUUUCUUUCAGUGGAUUCCAGGGUCUGGGUAUCAAGUCUGUUCUACUGUCCAUUAUGAAUUGUGAAUUGUACGCUGCUCAUCUGAGCGCUGCUCAAAGCAGUUGCAGCAGACCUCAGAGAACGUGGCUCCCCAGGACUACCUGGGUAAGGGGCCCACGGGGAAAGGAUGUAAGGACGCAAAGGCAACUGUCAAUGACUAUCACAUUGACUUUAUGUCAGGUUGCAGGGGGAGCAUGUGCUGGGCGUGCUGGUGACUCCCAGCUGAGAGCUGUUGAGGCUUGCCUCUGGACAGGAUAGACUUGGGGAGUCAGGACAACCACAGAGGAAGUAUAAUUUCGGGACCUGUUGGGAAUUGGCUUCAGAAGUGGAAAUGGAUGGUUGGAGGAAAUCCGUGAACAGACCAGAGCAGGCAAAUGAAAGGCCUUGUAAACAGGGAAAUGUGCAUUUUAAUUAUUUUGUUUUGUUUUGUUUUUUCGUGUUAACUCUUAAUUCCAUAGAACUAAAGCCACUUUCCAUGCUCUCAACCAUAUAACCAAGGAGAGGGAAGUACAUUAAACCAUGUGAUUUUUAAAAGGGAAAUUUCUUACCUCCCGGAGGUAGAUAAUGCAGGGACUAUCAAGUGGUGGUUUUGCUUUUUACUGCAGAAAAAUGUCCCUUCUCCCAGGUUUCUGCUAAGCACUCUAAGUUAUUUUUACUGUGAGAAGAGACUGUCACACCACCUCUUGGUAUCAUGACUUCUCUUGGCCCCUCAAACAGUCGAUUCUAGGUUAAGCCCAUAUGGUAUGAAUCUGUGGUGAAGAUGGUCUCCAAAGCCCAGUAACUUCUCAUUUUUCCCAGAGCCCUGUGGUCCUGCUCCUGACUGCUGCUCUGUGUUCCUAAAGAAAAACAGUAGAGUCCAAUCUCUGUUUUGAAGUUUCGGUGGUUGGUUGACCAGAUGCUGUGAUGCUGUGCUUCAGGGUCCCCGCCAACACAGAAGAGACAGCAACUUUUUCCAUGUUCCUGACAGAUUGGAAGGUGUUUUUUCACAUUCUCUGCUUCAGAUCUCUCCCUGGAAAGUGUUGCUAUGGAAGAGCAUAUGGUUUUAUUUGGUGGAAAUGUGCAGAGAAAUUGAAGGAAGUCAUACGCAUGCACGGCAAAUACUGGAAUUAAGGAGGGCUCCUGAGGAUAACUGGGAUACUGGUCCACCUGCUUGGGUGGUAACCCGGGAAGCAAGGGAAAGAGUCAGGCAGCCAGAAGUUUAAACCGAUCUGCCACUUGCUUGCCAGGUGACUUUGGGCAAGUUACUGGGCCCUGACUGACCUUUUUUUCUUCCCUGUCUCUGAAACAGAGAACAUUACCCUUACUGUGCAUUGCUCUUGCUGAGAGACAACAAGGUAACAGGUCAUGAGCACCAUAGUAACUGCUCAGUAAAUGGUAGCCACCGUUAGGGAGUGGUAAGGCACUCACAUUUAUGCCCCAAGGAUAUGGGUUCAGUCAUCAAGCUAUCUUUUGGCCUUUGAAGUUUGGAGCGCUUUGGGGAAGCCAGGGGUGUUCCGUGCUGGCCAAACUUGGUUUUGUGUACAUUUGUCAUCAGACUGGACAAUUGCUGAAAAGUGUAUACCUCAGCUGUCAAGGGAAUUAAAAGGUCACCCCCUGCAAGCAGUAAGGUCUUCCUGAGUCUCAGCAAGUUGACAACACUGUCACGUGGAACAGUGCAGCCUUCUCAACAUGUGGUUUUGAACCCCACCCCCCACCUUUAUGUUGUCAGCGCUGGUCAGCAUAGGCCUCAGCACCUCUGAGAGAACAGAAGACUCGUCUCCCAAGUGCUCACACCUGCUGCCUACCCUGAAUGAACCCUUUGGGAGGGAGGAUGAUUAUAAUUGUAAUGUUUUAAAAUCUUCCUUGAAAUAUUCAGGUUUAAUUCAUGUAGAUCAAAAUCUGCCAGGAAAAUGCUCCACAUACACUUUGCAUAUGCAUUCUGGAAGAUUCACAGACCUGUUGAAAGGCUGCCUGCCACACCAUACCCCCAGCCCCUUUCUCGAGUACGCGCACUAGAGGUUGGCAGAAGACAGUGAGAACCUGCUCGAACCUUUAUCAAGUUACUGGAUCUAACUGGGCCUCUUGUUUUCUGAUCUGGAAAAUGAAGAUACUGGAUUAGGUGAUUGCCAAAGUCCUUCUAGACUUAACUGGCUAUGACAGUAUAUCAUUCAUGCGUCUUGAAUAGAAUACAAGAGGUUUCUUUCAGCAUUCUGGACUGUUGAUGUUCUAGGAAACGAUGAGAAAAAAGUCUGUAUCCUCCCUCAACCUGAGUGUUCUAGUUUCUCUCAGCUCCUCGAAGGGCCUUCAAAAAGAAGCAUCUAAAAUACAGUGACUCACCCAUGCUUUUCAUGGGCAUGGGGCCUUGCCCCAAGCCGGGGACUCCACAGUUGGGCAAACUGUUCCUCACCCUGUUAGGACAUGCGUAGGGCUGAUUGAAUGGACUUUUGUCUUUGCCUCUUUCUUAACACCUUCAUUAUGACUGAAGUCACUUUUUUAAAAACAAAUAAAUGGUGGAAAAGGGAAGGGGGACCUAACCAAUUUUGUUUUUAAACUACACACCAUAAAACUGUGUCAUCAUUCUGUGUAUAAUUCAAUUGAAGUGUUUUUUUCUAACAAAAUUAAGGGACAUAUGUUCACUCAUUCAGUGUACAUAAUAGAAUGGUCAAGGUGUGUAUUUAGACAGGAAAUGUGUGAAUCUCGUUUUAUAUAUGUAUUAUUGCUAGAAUCCUAAACGUGAAAAAAGUGUCUGGCACAAAUGGGUACUGUACCAAUCACCUCAUUAGUGCAAUAAAUAUUGCCUCUCACAUUAAAGACAUUAGCAAGUUUAA